AUUGAACGCUGGCGGCAUGCUUUACACAUGCAAGUCGAACGGUAACAGGUUAAGCUGACGAGUGGCGAACGGGUGAGUAAUGCAUCGGAACGUGCCCGGUCGUGGGGGAUAACGCAGCGAAAGCUGCGCUAAUACCGCAUACGAUAUGAGGAUGAAAGCGGGGGACCGUAAGGCCUCGCGCGAUCGGAGCGGCCGAUGUCAGAUUAGGUAGUUGGUGGGGUAAAGGCCCACCAAGCCGACGAUCUGUAGCUGGUCUGAGAGGACGACCAGCCACACUGGGACUGAGACACGGCCCAGACUCCUACGGGAGGCAGCAGUGGGGAAUUUUGGACAAUGGGCGCAAGCCUGAUCCAGCAAUGCCGCGUGCAGGAAGAAGGCCUUCGGGUUGUAAACUGCUUUUGUACGGAGCGAAAAGGCUCUCUCUAAUACGGAGGGCUCAUGACGGUACCGUAAGAAUAAGCACCGGCUAACUACGUGCCAGCCGCCGCAGUAAGAC
rnacentral:rRNA from 1 species